rnacentral:rRNA from 1 species
GAAUAUUGGACAAUGGGCGAAAGCCUGAUCCAGCCAUGCCGCGUGUGUGAAGAAGGUCUUCGGGUUGUAAACUUUUGUCUUCAGGGAAGAAUAAUGACGGUACCUUAUGAGGAAGCCACGGCUAACUACGUGCGCGCAGCCGCGGUAAUACGUAGGUGGCAAGCGUUUGCCGGAAUUACUGGGGGUAAAGGGUGCGUAGGCGGGUAGUAAAGUCAGGUGUGAAAUGCCGGGGCUCAACUCCGGAGGUGCAUUUGAAACUUAUUAUCGUGAGUGAAGUAGAGGCAAGUGGAAUUCCCAGUGUAGCGGUGAAAUGCGUAGAUAUUGGGAGGAACACCAGUGGCGAAGGCGACUGCCUGGACGAUAACUGACGCUGAGGCACGAAAGCUAGGGGAGCAAAC